rnacentral:lncRNA from 1 species
GUGGAAUAAGACUAGAAAACAGACCUCAGGAAAAUGAUCCCAGAAAGAUCUGUCUUUCAAAUCCAAGCAAAUCCAAAACAUCUGCAAGAGAAAUCAACUCACCAAUAAUGAAAAAUAAAGGAUACUUUGCUUCAGAGAAAGACUUCAGUACAACUAUUGAACAUCUGCACAAAGAUCAAGCUAUGAGAAGGGCAAAGCUAGGUCCGAUGAGC